CGAGUCAGUCCGACGGUCGCGGCGUGGGCAACCACGUCGAGGAAAGUCCGGGCUCCACAGGGCAGGGUGGUGGCCAACAGCCACCCGGGGUGACCCGCGGGACAGUGCCACAGAGAACAGACCGCCUCCCGGUCUCGACCGGGCGGUGAGGGUGAAACGGUGGUGUAAGAGACCACCAGCGGCUCCGGUGACGGAGUCGGCUCGGUAAACCCCACCCGGAGCAAGCUCAGACAGUGUGCGUUCGAGGGCGGCCCGCCCGAGCACACGGGUAGGGCGCUGGAGGCCGCUGGCAACAGCGGUCCGAGAUGGAUGACCGUCAACGUGACCCGGGCAACCGGCCACGUGACAGAACCCGGCUUAUGACUGACUCGUCCG
rnacentral:RNase_P_RNA from 2 species